rnacentral:rRNA from 1 species
GAUGAACGCUGGCGGCGUGCCUAAUACAUGCAAGUCGAGCGAACGGACGAGAAGCUUGCUUCUCUGAUGUUAGCGGCGGACGGGUGAGUAACACGUGGAUAACCUACCUAUAAGACUGGGAUAACUUCGGGAAACCGUAUCUAAUACCGGAUAAUAUUUUGAACCGCAUGGUUCAAAAGUGAAAGACGGUCUUGCUGUCACUUAUAGAUGGUUCCGCGCUGCAUUAGCUAGUUGGUAAGGUAACGGCUUACCAAGGCAACGAUGCAUAGCCGACCUGAGAGGGUGAUCGGCCACACUGGAACUGAGACACGGUCCAGACUCCUACGGGAGGCAGCAGUAGGGAAUCUUCCGCAAUGGGCGAAAGCCUGACGGAGCAACGCCGCGUGAGUGAUGAAGGUCUUCGGAUCGUAAAACUCUGUUAUUAGGGAAGAACAUAUGUGUAAGUAACUGUGCACAUCUUGACGGUACCUAAUCAGAAAGCAACGGCUAACUACGUG